AGAGUUUGAUCAUGGCUCAGGAUGAACGCUAGCGGCAGGCCUAACACAUGCAAGUCGAGGGGCAGCACGGGUAGCAAUACUUGGUGGCGACCGGCGCACGGGUGAGUAACGCGUAUGCAACCUACCUUCAACUGGGGGAUAGCUCAGUGAAAACUGGAUUAAUACCCCAUAACACAGGGAUACCGCAUGGUAAUAUUUGUUAAAGCUCCGGCGGUUGAAGAUGGGCAUGCGUGCCAUUAGCUAGUUGGUAGGGUAACGGCCUACCAAGGCAACGAUGGCUAAGGGGUCUGAGAGGAUGAUCCCUCACACUGGUACUGAGACACGGACCAGACUCCUACGGGAGGCAGCAGUGAGGAAUAUUGGUCAAUGGGGGCAACCCUGAACCAGCCAUGCCGCGUGAAGGAAGACGGCCCUAAGGGUUGUAAACUUCUUUUGUACGGGGGUAAAGACAGAUACGUGUAUUUGUUUGAAAGUACUGUACGAAUAAGCAUCGGCUAACUCCGUGCCAGCAGCCGCGGUAAUACGGAGGAUGCAAGCGUUAUCCGGAUUUAUUGGGUUUAAAGGGUGCGUAGGCGGAUUUAUAAGUCAGCGGUGAAAGACUGUCGCUCAACGAUAGCAUUGCCAUUGAUACUGUAGAUCUUGAGUACACUUGAGGUAGGCGGAAUGUGUAGUGUAGCGGUGAAAUGCUUAGAUAUUACACAGAACACCA
rnacentral:rRNA from 1 species